rnacentral:rRNA from 1 species
UGCAUGUCUAAGUAUAAAUUCUUGUACGAUGAAACUGCAGACGGCUCAUUACAACAGUGAUAAACUAAUAGACUUUCGGGUUUUUAACCUUUUGGAUAACCGCAGUAAAUCGGGGCUAAUACAUACAAGCGAUGGGUGACUGGCAACGGAAGCUCAGCGAUUAUUAGCAUUACUACCAAUACCUUCGGGUCUUGUGGUGAAACCGAAUAAUAUUGCAGAUCGAGGAUUUAUCUUCGACAAGUCUACUGUGUCACUGCCCUAUCAACUUUCGAUGGUACGGUAUUGGCCUACCAUGGUUGUAACGGGUAACGGGGAAUUAGGGUUCGAUUCCGGAGAGGGAGCCUGAGAAAUGGCUACCACUUCUACGGAAGGCAGCAGGCGCGCAAAUUACUCAAUCCCAAUACGGGGAAGUAGUGACAAUAAAUAUCAAUACCUAUCCUUAACGGAGGGCAAUUGAAAUGAACACAAAUUAAAACUCUUAAUUAACACAAUUGGAGGGCAAGUCUGGUGCCAGCAGCCGCGGUAAUUCCAGCUCCAAUAGCAUAUACUAAAGUUGUUGCAGUUAAAAAGCUCGUAGUUGAAGUUAAAGGUUUACUGGGCUAAAGUUAUUUGCCACUCUGGUGGUUAAAUCAACUCCAGUAUUCCUUUUUUUAAUAGCUCUGCUUCUAGCAUCUUUGAUGUUAGUUGUUUGGGCAUUUCACUGUGAGAAAAUUGUGGUGUUUAAAGCAGGCGUCUCGCCUGAUCUUUUGCAGCAUGGUAUGAUGAAACAUGACAUUUUACG